AACAAAUGUCCACACAGUUAGGAAGCCCAAGGGCCCUCUGCCCUUUCCUCUCUGCCUUCCUGGAGCAUGAACCCACACAGGGCACACAGCAGCAAGGCAUCCCCGGGCAGUGCCGUGCCCACUCACCAGCUUCUUCCUGCGGUCAUCGAUCUGGCAGAAGUUCUCCUCAUCUAUCCCCAAACAUGGGCUUCCUUGAGGCACAGUCAUUCAACCAACCAGCCAGCAUUCAUUGAGCACCAUCUAUGUCCUGGGCACUGCUAGGGGAUGGUGAUAACAGGGAGAAGACUCUGUCCCUGCCUUCCAAUUGUGUAGAGGAAGACAUCCCCCUACAUGAUGGGUGAGACAUAGCAGAAGUGAGUAGGGGAUGAGGUGGGGGCUCAGAGGAGGGCAUGGUCAGCCUGUCUGGGAGGGAGUUGCAUGUGUGCAUCUGAGGUAGGGACAGGCAUGCAUCUUACAGGAUGAAUAUCGAGCAGAGUUACAGAGAGGGGGAAACUCCUUGAGGUUUCAGGAAUCACCUAAUCCACUGUGACUCACAAAUUCCUGCCUCUUGGCUUUGCCUGCAGCAUAUCUCCUGGAAGUGUGCUGGGGCAAAACUCAUCCCAGACCACCAUCUCCAUCCUCCCCCAAUACACCCUGGCUCUCCCUGGCUACCCUUGAGCACGGUGCACGUGUGCAUGGGUGCAUGCCUGCAUAUAUAGCUAUCCCCCAUGUAUUUCCCAAAGCCCUACAUAAUGCUUCAGUUUGCUAAGGAAAAAAUGUUAAUUACUGCAAAUGUGUUUAAAACUGUAAAAGUACAUUAAACAAACUCUGUAAAGUGUGA
rnacentral:lncRNA from 1 species